GAGUUUGAUCGUGGCUCAGAUUGAACGCUGGCGGCGUGCCUAACACAUGCAAGUCGAGCGGUAACAGGUGUAGCAAUACAUGCUGACGAGCGGCGGACGGGUGAGCAAUAUUUGGGAAUCUGCCUAUUAGUGGGGGACAACCCGGGGAAACUCGGGCUAAUACCGCAUACGCACUACGGUGGAAAGCCGGGGACCGCAAGGCCUGGCGCUAAUAGAUGAGCCCAAAUCGGAUUAGCUAGUUGGUGAGGUAAUGGCUCACCAAGGCGACAAUCCGUAGCUGGUCUGAGAGGACGACCAGCCACACCGGAACUGAGACACGGUCCGGACUCCUACGGGAGGCAGCAGUGGGGAAUAUUGGACAAUGGGGGAAACCC
rnacentral:rRNA from 1 species